GGUUAAGCGACUAAGCGUACACGGUGGAUGCCCUGGCAGUCAGAGGCGAUGAAGGGCGUGCUAAUCUGCGAUAAGCGCCGGUAAGGUGAUAUGAACCGUUAUAACCGGCGAUACCCGAAUGGGGAAACCCAGUGUGAUUCGUCACACUAUCAUUACGUGAAUACAUAGCGUAAUGAAGCGAACCGGGGGAACUGAAACAUCUAAGUACCCCGAGGAAAAGAAAUCAACCGAGAUUCCCCCAGUAGCGGCGAGCGAACGGGGAGGAGCCCAGAGCCUGAAUCAGCAUGUGUGUUAGUGGAAGCGUCUGGAAAGGCGCGCGAUACAGGGUGACAGCCCCGUACACAAAAGCGCAUGUGUUGUGAGCUCGAUGAGUAGGGCGGGACACGUGGUAUCCUGUCUGAAUAUGGGGGGACCAUCCUCCAAGGCUAAAUACUCCUGACUGACCGAUAGUGAACCAGUACCGUGAGGGAAAGGCGAAAAGAACCCCGGCGAGGGGAGUGAAAAAGAACCUGAAACCGUGUACGUACAAGCAGUGGGAGCACCCUUUGGGGUGUGACUGCGUACCUUUUGUAUAAUGGGUCAGCGACUUAUAUUCUGUAGCAAGGUUAACCGAAUAGGGGAGCCGGAGGGAAACCGAGUCUUAAUUGGGCGUUAAGUUGCAGGGUAUAGACCCGAAACCCGGUGAUCUAGCCAUGGGCAGGUUGAAGGUUGGGUAACACUAACUGGAGGACCGAACCGACUAAUGUUGAAAAAUUAGCGGAUGACCUGUGGCUGGGGGUGAAAGGCCAAUCAAACCGGGAGAUAGCUGGUUCUCCCCGAAAGCUAUUUAGGUAGCGCCUCGUGAACUCAUCUCCGGGGGUAGAGCACUGUUUCGGCUAGGGGGCCAUCCCGGCUUACCAACCCGAUGCAAACUGCGAAUACCGGAGAAUGUUAUCACGGGAGACACACGGCGGGUGCUAACGUCCGUCGUGAAGAGGGAAACAACCCAGACCGCCAGCUAAGGUCCCAAAGUCAUAGUUAAGUGGGAAACGAUGUGGGAAGGCCCAGACAGCCAGGAUGUUGGCUUAGAAGCAGCCAUCAUUUAAAGAAAGCGUAAUAGCUCACUGGUCGAGUCGGCCUGCGCGGAAGAUGUAACGGGGCUAAACUAUGCACCGAAGCUGCGGCAGCGACACUAUGUGUUGUUGGGUAGGGGAGCGUUCUGUAAGCCUGUGAAGGUGGCCUGUGAGGGUUGCUGGAGGUAUCAGAAGUGCGAAUGCUGACAUAAGUAACGAUAAAGCGGGUGAAAAGCCCGCUCGCCGGAAGACCAAGGGUUCCUGUCCAACGUUAAUCGGGGCAGGGUGAGUCGACCCCUAAGGCGAGGCCGAAAGGCGUAGUCGAUGGGAAACGGGUUAAUAUUCCCGUACUUGGUGUUACUGCGAAGGGGGGACGGAGAAGGCUAUGUUGGCCGGGCGACGGUUGUCCCGGUUUAAGCGUGUAGGUGUGUGUUCCAGGUAAAUCCGGUUCACUUUAACACUGAGGCGUGAUGACGAGGCACUACGGUGCUGAAGCAACAAAUGCCCUGCUUCCAGGAAAAGCCUCUAAGCAUCAGGUAACAUCAAAUCGUACCCCAAACCGACACAGGUGGUCAGGUAGAGAAUACCAAGGCGCUUGAGAGAACUCGGGUGAAGGAACUAGGCAAAAUGGUGCCGUAACUUCGGGAGAAGGCACGCUGACACGUAGGUGAAGUGAUUUACUCACGGAGCUGAAGUCAGUCGAAGAUACCAGCUGGCUGCAACUGUUUAUUAAAAACACAGCACUGUGCAAACACGAAAGUGGACGUAUACGGUGUGACGCCUGCCCGGUGCCGGAAGGUUAAUUGAUGGGGUCAGCGCAAGCGAAGCUCCUGAUCGAAGCCCCGGUAAACGGCGGCCGUAACUAUAACGGUCCUAAGGUAGCGAAAUUCCUUGUCGGGUAAGUUCCGACCUGCACGAAUGGCGUAAUGAUGGCCAGGCUGUCUCCACCCGAGACUCAGUGAAAUUGAACUCGCUGUGAAGAUGCAGUGUACCCGCGGCAAGACGGAAAGACCCCGUGAACCUUUACUAUAGCUUGACACUGAACAUUGAGCCUUGAUGUGUAGGAUAGGUGGGAGGCUUUGAAGCGUGGACGCCAGUCUGCGUGGAGCCGACCUUGAAAUACCACCCUUUAAUGUUUGAUGUUCUAACGUGGACCCGUUACCCGGGUUGCGGACAGUGUCUGGUGGGUAGUUUGACUGGGGCGGUCUCCUCCUAAAGAGUAACGGAGGAGCACGAAGGUUGGCUAAUCCUGGUCGGACAUCAGGAGGUUAGUGCAAUGGCAUAAGCCAGCUUGACUGCGAGCGUGACGGCGCGAGCAGGUGCGAAAGCAGGUCAUAGUGAUCCGGUGGUUCUGAAUGGAAGGGCCAUCGCUCAACGGAUAAAAGGUACUCCGGGGAUAACAGGCUGAUACCGCCCAAGAGUUCAUAUCGACGGCGGUGUUUGGCACCUCGAUGUCGGCUCAUCACAUCCUGGGGCUGAAGUAGGUCCCAAGGGUAUGGCUGUUCGCCAUUUAAAGUGGUACGCGAGCUGGGUUUAGAACGUCGUGAGACAGUUCGGUCCCUAUCUGCCGUGGGCGCUGGAGAACUGAGGGGGGCUGCUCCUAGUACGAGAGGACCGGAGUGGACGCAUCACUGGUGUUCGGGUUGUCAUGCCAAUGGCACUGCCCGGUAGCUAAAUGCGGAAGAGAUAAGUGCUGAAAGCAUCUAAGCACGAAACUUGCCCCGAGAUGAGUUCUCCCUGAGACUUAAAGUCUCCUGAAGGAACGUUGAAGACGACGACGUUGAUAGGCCGGGUGUGUAAGCGCAGCGAUGCGUUGAGCUAACCGGUACUAAUGAACCGUGAGGCUUAACCUU
rnacentral:rRNA from 1 species